rnacentral:lncRNA from 1 species
GAGAGUAACCAUGGCAACCCACCAGAGGAAGUGUAUUCUGCAGGAGACGUUAAUCCCCUCUCCCCGGAGCUGGGACAGCCUGACUUUCCAUUCUCACACAGUGAGGAAAGAGAUGGCAGAAAACUACUGCUGGCCUUCCAAUCCAAUUUAGCCCUACUUCAGGGUCCUUGCCCCAGCUACUGGGAUCUCUUAACCCAACUAUGGAUUUGAAGUGGCUACAAUCCAGCUCACAUCUUCCUGUCUUCCUGGCUCAGCUUACUCAAGUCCUGUCUCCAGAGUUGUUACAAGCCACCCCUCCUAGUCACUGAAAAAUCCAAGAGGCUUCUAGACC